UGCUCUUAUUUCUCUUCAAACCAUAUAAAUCUUUCACCUUUUACUAAAGAUUUCUGUGGAGAGAAAUUAAAAGAGUUUGUUUGAAUUUUUUGAUGCUUUACUCAUCAGUAGGGCU